rnacentral:tRNA from 1 species
GCGAGAGUGGCGGAAUUGGUAGACGCACCAGAUUUAGGAUCUGGCGGGCAACCGUGGGGGUUCGAGUCCCCCCUCUCGCACCA